GAGGUCGCGCGUCGCGCACACGUCGCAUAACGACAAUACGACAUCGCCCGCGAUAUUAUUGUACGCUCGGUAUUAAUACACGGCGCGGCAUUCGUGUAUACACACACACAUCGUUUAUCGCGUUUGAUUUCUGUUUGUUUUCGUUUUUAUUGUUUUUUUCGUUCCGUUCCGCCGUCCGGAAACGUACGCGUACGCACGGCCGCCGAAACACGCGUAACGCCGCCGCGGUCAACCGUCAUCGCCGCAGCCUGCGACCGGCACCGCACGCCGUGCGCGUCAUCGACAACACCGUCACAGUACGACAUUAAUACACGUCGC